UACGUAGGGGGCAAGCGUUGUCCGGAAUCAUUGGGCGUAAAGAGCGUGUAGGCGGCUCGGUAAGUCCGCUCUGAAAGCCCGGGGCUCAACCCCGGGAGGCGGGUGGAUACUGCUCAGCUCGAGUCCGGAAGAGGAGUGUGGAAUUCCUGGUGUAGCGGUGAAAUGCGCAGAUAUCAGGAGGAACACCAAUGGCGAAGGCAGCACUCUGGGACGGUACUGACGCUGAGACGCGGAAGCGUGGGGAGCAAACAGG
rnacentral:rRNA from 1 species